AUAUUGGUCAAUGGGCGAGAGCCUGAACCAGCCAAGUAGCGUGAGUGAAGAAGUAUUUCGGUAUGUAAAGCUCUAUCAGCAGGGAAGAAAAUGACGGUACCUGACUAAGAAGCCCCGGCUAACUACGUGCCAGCAGCCGCGGUAAUACGUAGGGGGCAAGCGUUAUCCGGAUUUACUGGGUGUAAAGGGAGCGUAGACGGCAAGGCAAGUCUGAAGUGAAAGCCCGGGGCUUAACCGCGGGACUGCUUUGGAAACUGUCUGGCUGGAGUGCCGGAGAGGUAAGCGGAAUUCCUAGUGUAGCGGUGAAAUGCGUAGAUAUUAGGAGGAACACCAGUGGCGAAGGCGGCUUACUGGACGGUAACUGACGUUGAGGCUCGAAAGCGUGGGGAGCAAACAG
rnacentral:rRNA from 1 species